GGGAAGGGUCCAGACUAGGGUUCAAAUACAUGUGUAUUUGAGAAUCUGGUAUUUAAAAUGCUAUUUCUGUGUAUUGGAGUUGUUUUUUAAUAUAUAUACACAGCUCAAAACAAGUACAUUUAUUUGAGUAUUUUAAUGGUUAUUUGUAAAAACCAAAUAAUCUGCCAAAUUGUAUUUCACAAAACCUUUGUAAGAACUCAAGCAGAGUUUGAAGAAAAAUAUUAAUUGGCAAAGAAACUACAGGCCAUGAGUAACUUGGUCAAAAUUAUGGCACUGAUUGGCCUAUAGGUGGCGCUGUUAUAAGCAGUCUCACUUAAACCCUCAUCCAUCACCUGUUUGACUGAGACACUUCAAACUUCGUAUGUAGGUGUCUCAUCAUGCUGAACAAAUGAAAUGUACCUCUGGUAUAUCUCUUAACUUAUGAACCAUAGGGCCAAAAGACACCAAAUGUGGAAUGUACAGUGCAUUUGGAAAUAAUUCAGACCCCUUCACUUUUUCCACAUUUUGUUACGUUACAGCCUCAUUCAAAAAUGUAUAUAUAUAAAAAAAAAUAAGUACUCAGCAAUCGACACACAAUACCCCAUAAUGACAAAGCAAUUUAUUUUUGCAAAAAAUACAAUUAAAAAAAUGAAAUAUCACAUUUACAUAAGUAUUCAGACCCUUUACUUCGUACUUUGUUGAAGCACCUUUGGCACCAAUUACAGCGUCAAGUCUUCUUGGGUGUCAUGACGUUGCCUGUUUAGGUACAUAAAGCCCAUCCCCCUCUCCCUGCCACUCCCUGCCUCCCCCUUUCCUCAUUCAACCCAUGCUGUGGUCACAGAGAGAUGUCGUAAAUUCCUGAGAAUCUCCUCAUGGCCAAACAGUAUUAGAGAGAGGGUAAACUUUCAGGACAAAGGGGUUUCUUCCACCUCACAGAACUUGAGGUACGAACAGAUUUCAUGUUCCGGAAAAAGUAUAAAAGAUCGGUGAAGAUUCCAGCUAUUAACAUGUCCGUUUGUCACCACGUGGGAAACUCAUGGGAGACUGUGUGGCUACAUUACCAUACCGCUGUUUGUAUAAUAAUCUCAGAUAUGAGGUUUACAUCUGAUUGUUGUAUAAAAUGAAUGAGUGAGUAUGAUACUGUUUGUAUAAUUGUGUAAUAUGAUUUUGGACUGUUUAAUGAAGAAAAAUACAAAUCCCUUUUGAUUUGAACUAAAUCCGAGGACCUGCCCCUGAGCCAGUUGGGUCAGACAUCCUGGGACAACCCCUCUCUGCAAUCCGAAUAAAAACCCAACUCUGAGAAAUUAUCAGUAGACCAUGUUUUUUCUCCAUUAGGAGGAGAACGAAGGUUGUGUACCAUUGCUGAAUCGUUUAACCAUAACACGUGGUUAAACUCUUAGACGAAUAAGAACAAGUCUUUGAUAUUGACUACUAGUCUGCAGCUAGGAAUUCGGUAUCAUUGAACGCGAAGAACGACAACCGCCGAAACAUCCAUUCUAUAACAAAUGGCACUCUGAACUAUCCACAAUAACCAAGACAGAGACGGACGAAUCUCUCCAACAGAAACUGACUUUUCUCCAGCGUUCAGGACGACACACUGAGCGUAAAUAUAUAUAUAUAGAUUGCAAUUGUUCCCGAAUGAGUGAGCGUUCAUGUGUAAAGGAUUAGCAUGUCAAUUGUUAUAAUUAUGAACUCUGUAGUGACUUCUUGGUUGACCCCCAAUUUUCACUUUGUCUAACAAGCCGCCAUGCCGGUUCAGCCCACUAGGGCAUAUUUCUCCCAUCACUUCAUGUAACCAUUUUAAGUUUGUUUGUUUGUUUAUGCAUUUCUGUGAAUUACUUAGUUAGUAAUAAAUAAAUGAUUUAAGACAAUUGAUGUAUGGAUGACUCAUAGUAAAGACUGGGUUCGUGCAGAUAACCAACAAUUUACGACAUUUGGAAUGAGACUAACGUGAGGUAAAAUAAAUAAAUCAUUAAUCAGAAGACUAUUGAUCAGAUAUCUGAAAGGUUAUAUUGGGAAAUUAUAACUUUGUAAUCUGACUACUUUCCCUGGUGCCCCCAAGUUCAUAGUUAAUUAGUUACGUUAUUAAUCAAGUUGAUCGCGUAAUCCAUAAUUACAGGAAUCUUUGAUAUAAACUAUAAGUCUUCAAUUUAAUGAUAGCAAAGACACGACAUGGGUAUGACGCUACAAGAUUGGCACACCAGUAUUUGGGGAGUUUUUCCUAUUCUCUGCAGAUCCUCUCAAGUUCUUGUCAGGUUGGAUGGGGAGUGUUGCUGCACAGCUAUUUCCAGGUCUCUCCAGAGAUGUUCAAUCCUGUUCAAGUCCGGUCUUUUCAGGGCCGUCUAAGGAUAUUGUGAUUUGUCGCAAAGCCACUCCUUCGUUGUCUUGGCUGUGUGCUUUGGGUCGUUGUCCUGUUGGAAGGUAAACUUUUGCCCCAGUCUGAGAACCUGCUCCAGAGCGCUCAGGACUUCAUCAAGAACCUCUCUGUAUUUUGCUCCGUUCAUCUUUGCCUCAAUCCUGACUAGUCUCACAGUCCCUGCCACUGAAAAACAUCCCCACAGCAUGAUGCUGCCACCACCAUGCUUCACCGUAGGGAUGGUGCCAGGUUUCCUCCAGACGUGACGCUUGGCAUUGAGGCCAAAGAGUUCAAUGUUGGUUUCAUCAGACCAGAGAAUCUUGUUUCUCAUUGUCUGAGAGUCUUUAGGCGCCUUUUGGCAAACUCCAAGCAGGAUGUCAUGUGCCUUUUACUGAGGAGUGGCUUCCGUCUGGCCACUCUACCAUAAAGGCCUGAUUUGGUGGAGUGCUGCAGGGAUGGUUAUGUUUCUGGAAAGUUCUCCCAUCUCCACAAAGGAACUCUGGAGCUCUGUCAGAGUGACCAUCAGAUUCUUGGUCACCCUCCUGACCAAUGCCCUUCUCUCCCGACUGCUCAGUUUGGCUGGGCGGCCAGCUCUAGGAAGAGUCUUGGUGGAUCCAAUAAUAAUGGAAGCCACUCUGUUCUUGGGGACCUUCAAUGCUGCAGACAUUUUUUGGCACGCUUCCCCAGAUCUAUGCCUCAACACAAUCCUGUCUCGGAGCUCUACAGACAAUUCCUUCGACCUCAUGGCUUUGUUUUUGCUCUGACAUUCACUGUCAACUGUGGGACCUUAUAUAGACAGGUGUGUGCCUUUCCAAAUCAUGUCCAAUCAAUUGAAUUUACCACAGGUGGACUCCAAACAAGUAGUAGAAACAUCUCAAUGAUGAUCAACGGAAACAGGAUACACCUGAGCUAAAUUUUUUGUGUCUCAUAGCAAAGGGGCUGAAUACUUAUGUAAAUAAGGUAUUUCUGUUUAUGUUAAAUAAAUUAGCUAAAAAGGUCUAAAAAACGUUUUUUGCUUUGUCAUUAUUUGGUAUUGUUUGUAGAUUGAUGAGGGGGGGAAAAAACAAUUUUCAUCAAUUUUAGAAUAAGGCUGUAACGUAAUAAACAUUUUUUUAAAGUCAAGGUGUCUGAAUCCUUCCCGAAGGCACUAUAUACAUUCUACAGACCCUACUGAAUAUUCCCUACACGUAUUUUAUAUCUGCACCCAGAAUAGUUCUUGCUCUAAGCCAAUAUGUAUUCCAUAUACAAUGUUUUGCUUUGGGGCAUUUAUUUGGCAUUGGAACAUGUUUUAAAACCACAAUUUAAUUAAAAUGUCACUUAAAUAUGAACAAAUAUGAAUCAUUGUACAUUUUUUGACAAUUAUUUUUCAAAUCAUGAAUGGUUGACACUUUUCUACUAUUACUUGGGUAACUUUUAUUUGGGAAAUGUCCAUAAUUCCAUGACCCGGAAGUUAUUUUUUUUGUGUUGCUGACGAGACACUGAUCAUGUGACGAGUUCGCAUAUCAAAUGCCCCACUUAUGCUGCCACUGGACAGCGAAAAACAAGUUGGAACCAACAUGCAGCACCUCCAGCAGGAAGAGAGGCAAGAACCGUUUGUCCGCCAGCUCAGAGACAAGCAAACGCUAUUCACAGCCCUGUCUAAUAUUCAAUGUUACUGUAGGAUGUGAGAGGUAUUUAAAUGGGUUGAUGGACCUGCAAAGCGUGUGUGUGCGCGCCAAAACCAAGAUGAUUUGGAGUAGUCCAACCUGAGAUUACCGCACCAGGUAUUCAUUCCUCUUCUGUUCCCAUGCUGGCGACCAGGGCUUGAUUACAACCUGUUACAAUGGUGCCAACAUUUUGUGGCUGAUCUUUCAGUGGGGGAGUGGGUGAUUGUGUCGAAGACCGCACAUAUAAGCCUAAUCAGAGUGACCUUACUGAGUAAAUUAUUUGUCAUCGUCCCUACUUAACAAGGUAAAAAUGUCAUAGUUAUGGCUAAACCCUGCCCAUUUCCACAAUGUAUCUUCUUAAAAUGUGAUUUUAAACCUAACCCUAACUAAUGAAGGCCAAGUUUGAUGUGUUGGUUCACCAGAACUUCCGCGCAUUAGGGCGGAAGUGUCUGGGAAGGGAUUAGGUGUAAUGUGACUAACAUGACGUCACUUUAGAGCAUUUCCCAUCCUUUAGCGCAACAUGUCACAUGCCUUUAUAAAGCACAUGUUUAUAUCAUAUUCAACAAAGUGGGUUAUGUCACAUUUGACAUUGGAGAUUGUCACAGUUAUGCCACAUUUAUGAAGCAUGACAUACGCUUAUAUAUGCUUUUCAACACUUAUGUAGUGCUUAUGAAGGGAUUAUAAAGGCUUUAUGAAGCCUUUAUAAGGUGAACGUCAUUUAAAGCGGGACCAAACAUUCAACUACUUGUCUUUUCAAAUAAAAUAUAUCUGAAUAUUUACUUCGAAUGUAAGUGAAAUUGAGAUACUUUAAAAAGUCAACUGACCCAUCACGCCAACCAGCAUGUCACCCUAGUAGUCUCUUCCCUUCUCAGGUUAAAGCAAAGUUUAUUCCCUUCACAAAUUGUAAAGGAAUGGAUUGGUAUAAACUAGGGCUGAAGGAGUUUCCACCAUAUCCCUCAACUCAGCUCCCCCUUUCCCCCCUCCUCACCAA